GACAACGUGUCCGAGUGGUUAAGGAGGUGGCCUGCUAAGCCAUUGUGCAUUGCACACGAGAGUUCGAAUCUCUCCGUUGUCG
rnacentral:tRNA from 1 species